rnacentral:lncRNA from 1 species
AAAAGAUGAGAAAAAUAAAAUGGGGAAACGAAAUAGAAAAACACAGAAUUUCCAGCAAAACUUUACAUCAAGAGAAUUUCCAUCUGCCUUUGGCUUUAUGCGCUUCACCCUUGAGUGCAGGAAUACUCCAGCAAGGGCCACUCCAUCUAAUAAAAUGAGUCAUAAAUUAGUCAUGAUACCAAAAAUGAGUCAUAAAUCAGUCAUAAUACCAAAAAUUUCCUAAAUCAGUCAUGAUACCAAAAAUGAGUCAUAAAUCAGUCAUGAUAUCAAGAGCAUCCGAUGAAGUUCUGACAACAAUGAAGUUCUGACAAUCAUAAAUACUGCUAAUGCAAGGUGCAAAAAACAGAAUCAAGCAUUUUAAAAAAACUAAAGCAUAAGCUCAUCCAUGCAUAAGCAAGCAACUAGACUGUUUGUCAUCAACCUGUCUAUCUCUAAAAUAGUAUUAUGAGAAUGAAAUCAACUAAUCUAGACAUGUACCAGUGACCUUAUAAUGUAGAUAAGAUCAACUCUCUACAAUGACAGACUUUUCUUUCACAAUGACAGACAUAAGGCCUUCCAUGUUUGUUUUUCUUUUUUGUUUUGAUAAGUGAAACAUAAGACAUAAGGCCUUCCAUGUUUGUCAGAAUCUCCACUGAAAUUGUAAGCAUUUUUUCAACUUGAAAAAACAGUGCACAGUUUCAACUUGAAAAAGUGGACUUGCAAACAAUCAGAUCAAGACCAUCUUUUCACAACAAAAUUAAAAAACAGCAAAAAAGGCACAACUACCUGACUUUAAAGUGGUACCAAAAGUCAGUCCCAUGAUUACUGCAAUUCUGAAGGACACUCUGUAGACAAAAAUUUCCAAAUUAAUACAAAUAUAUAGAUAUACAAGUGUUGUUAUAGCAAUCUCAGUUCAACCUAUGAGUGAAUCACAUUCCUCAUCUACACUUGGAUCUUGAGUAGCACCAACAUUUGAUUCUCCAAUUCUACAAGGCAAAACUCAUGCUCCAGUUUGAAAUCAUCAAGUUGAACGAGUUCAAUGGACCAUAUGCAUCUGAGAAUAAAGGAAAUCAAUUUUGUGAUUGUUUGCUUAGAGAACCAAGUUGAUUUUUCAGUAUGAUAAAACAAUUAAACACAAAGGGAUAGUUUUUCACAUAGCCCUACCACAAAUUUGACAAAUGAUUGGAAGCAAAUGCAGAUGAAAACAACACUGGAAAUCUGCAGAUGAAAAC